CAGUCUUUGUCAGGACAUUAAUAAAUAAAAGAAAUGUAUAAUAAAUCCUUUACAUUCUCACUGUCCAACAGGGGGUGAAAGUCCCUAUAAAAUAAAAAGUGGCCAGACUAUAAACUAAUAUACCAUAAGAAAACAUCCCUCUCAUUCCCUGUCUCUCUCUGCCUCUCCCCAGAGCCUUCCCUAUCUGUUCCUCCUCCUCUCUGGACUACCGGCCAGCUGAAGAUUCCAGGGCAACUGUUCUAUACACUGCUGCCUAGCAACGCUGGAAUUCCCACAUUGUGUUCCAAGCCUCACUUUGGCGCUGGUUGGUUGAUAUUGGUUGAUAUCAGUAAGCCCCGCCCAUCGCCGAGGAGCAGGAGCUGCACGUGGAGCAGGUGAGGGGGAGGUGGCUGUAAAGUUGCAGAUGGGAAUAUUGGGGACAAGAGAAGAUAUUGGAGGACACAGAAGGGAUUUUCGGCUGCAGGAGAAGAUUCUUUUUCGGGGUCUCAGCCAGAGAAGAACAAGUGACAUUGGUAUAAAACAUCCCAACACUCUUAGUUCUCAGUUUGGAGCGGGACCUCUUGGAACUGCGUUAUAGAAUGAAAGAAAAUUGCUCCCUGCCAAUGUAUAACCUUGAUGACGCUCCUGACCCAGUUGCCAAGGAUCAAGUAGUCUGAGAGUCAGAUUUGCUAUUAAACUCCAUGGAUCGCGGUGACGCCAAACUCAAUGGGCAGUUGGAAGCCUCAUUCCCCCCGUGUUUCCGUCAUGGCUAAAGUUACUGAUCAACUCGCAGUUCAAGAGGCCCCUGACAGCUGUACCCCCAUUGGCUGCCUUGGGGAGAGCCUUUGGAUUAGGCAAUAACAUCCAAAACAACUAUAUCAUCUGACCUGUAGACUUAACAUCAGGACGGAAACAGCCUCUAGGUGGCGCUGGUGCUUGUGAUAAAUUCUGCAAGUUUUUGAGUCCAAAGAGUUUAUACAGGAAAGAACAUUCCUUC